GCCGGAAUAGCUCAGUUGGUAGAGCAUCUCAUUCGUAAUGAGGGGGUCGGGGGUUCGAAUCCCUCUUCCGGCACCA
rnacentral:tRNA from 1 species